UACGAAGGGGGCUAGCGUUGUUCGGAAUCACUGGGCGUAAAGCGCACGUAGGCGGAUGUGCCAGUCAGGGGUGAAAUCCCGGAGCUCAACUUCGGAACUGCCUCUGAUACAGCACGUCUUGAGUCCGGAAGAGGUGGGUGGAAUUCCUAGUGUAGAGGUGAAAUUCGUAGAUAUUAGGAAGAACACCGGUGGCGAAGGCGGCCCACUGGACCAUAACUGACGCUGAGGCACGAAAGCGUGGGUAGCAAACAGG
rnacentral:rRNA from 1 species